CAGUUCGCACAAGUUCACUUAAAUGUUCAUUAGUUAGUUCAGAUCGAUAUUUAGAUUUAACGCUUUUAAUUGGCCGCCAUGCCAAUCUAUAAAAACGAUUGUAAUGAUAACGAAACUAACGGAAAUAAAAACACUAUCUAACGAUUCUAGCGGAAUUAUAUAUUUAUUAAUUUUAGUCUAAGCCUGGUUCAAGAGCCGCACGAAACUGAUUUAAGAGCUAUCGAGCCUCGUUUUGACCACCCCUGAGAUAUAAUAUAAAUAGUACAUUUUUGUCUAAAAAUUUUUGUAACACAAGAAUUAAAAAUAACUGUAACUAAAUUGCACCACGUACUCACUCUGAUUUUGGUAAUUAAAGUCCAAUAAUUAGAG